UAGUCCACGCCGUAAACGAUGAUCACUAAGUGUUCGGCCUUCGGGCUGAGUGCUCAAGCGAAAGCGAUAAGUGAUCCACCUGGGGAGUACGUUCGCAAGAAUGAAACUCAAAGGAAUUGACGGGGGCCCGCACAAGCGGUGGAGCAUGUGGUUUAAUUCGAUGAUACGCGAGGAACCUUACCUGGGCUUAAAUGCAGAACGACGUACCGGGAAACUGGUAUUUUCUUCGGAACGGACUGCAAGGUGCUGCAUGGUUGUCGUCAGCUCGUGCCGUGAGGUGUCGGGUUAAGUCCCAUAACGAGCGCAACCCCUAUCGUUAGUUGCCAGCGGAUAAUGCCGGGGACUCUAACGAGACUGCCAUCGUAAGAUGUGAGGAAGGUGGGGAUGACGUCAAAUCGGCACGGCCCUUAUGUCCAGGGCUACACACGUGUUACAAUGGCUAGUACAAAGGGCAGCUACCUGGUGACAGGAUGCUAAUCUCAAAAACUGGUCUUAGUUCGGAUCGUAGUCUGCUAA
rnacentral:rRNA from 1 species